rnacentral:rRNA from 1 species
UACGGAGGGUGCAAGCGUUAUCCGGAUUCACUGGGUUUAAAGGGUGCGUAGGAGGGCAGGUAAGUCAGUGGUGAAAUCCCCGAGCUUAACUUGGGAACUGCCGUUGAUACUAUCUGUCUUGAAUACCGUGGAGGUGAGCGGAAUAUGUCAUGUAGCGGUGAAAUGCUUAGAUAUGACAUAGAACACCAAUUGCGAAGGCAGCUUACUACACAAAUAUUGACGCUGAGGCACGAAAGCGUGGGGAUCAAACAGG